GAUGAACGCUGGCGGCGUGCCUAAUACAUGCAAGUCGAGCGAACGGACGAGAAGCUUGCUUCUCUGAUGUUAGCGGCGGACGGGUGAGUAACACGUGGAUAACCUACCCAUAAGACUGGGAUAACUUCGGGAAACCGGAGCUAAUACCGGAUAAUAUUUUGAACCGCAUGGUUCAAAAGUGAAAGACGGUCUUGUUGUCACUUAUAGAUGGAUCCGCGCUGCAUUAGCUAGUUGGUAAGGUAACGGCUUACCAAGGCAACGAUGCAUAGCCGACCUGAGAGGGUGAUCGGCCACACUGGAACUGAGACACGGUCCAGACUCCUACGGGAGGCAGCAGUAGGGAAUCUUCCGCAAUGGGCGAAAGCCUGACGGAGCAACGCCGCGUGAGUGAUGAAGGUCUUCGGAUCGUAAAACUCUGUUAUUAGGGAAGAACAUAUGUGUAAGUAACUGUGCACAUCUUGACGGUACCUAAUCAGAAAGCCACGGCUAACUACGUG
rnacentral:rRNA from 1 species